rnacentral:SRP_RNA from 1 species
CACCGGGGGCCGUGGAGGUCCGACUGACGAACCCCGCCAGGGCAGGAAUGCAGCAACGGUAGUCUGCUUGUCCCUGCCGCGGUUUCCCGGUGUCCU